rnacentral:rRNA from 1 species
GACGAACGCUGGCGGCGUGCCUAACACAUGCAAGUCGAGCGAGUGAAUCUCCUUCGGGAGUGAAGCUAGCGGCGGACGGGUGAGUAACACGUGGGCAACCUGCCUCAUAGAGGGGAAUAGCCUUUCGAAAGGAAGAUUAAUACCGCAUAAGAUUGUAGCUUCGCAUGAAGUAGCAAUUAAAGGAACAAUCCGCUAUGAGAUGGGCCCGCGGCGCAUUAGCUAGUUGGUGAGGUAACGGCGCACCAAGGCGACGAUGCGUAGCCGACCUGAGAGGGUGAUCGGCCACAUUGGGACUGAGACACGGCCCAGACUCCUACGGGAGGCAGCAGUGGGGAAUAUUGCACAAUGGGGGAAACCCUGAUGCAGCAACGCCGCGUGAGUGAUGACGGCCUUCGGGUUGUAAAGCUCUGUCUUCAGGGACGAUAAUGACGGUACCUGAGGAGGAAGCCACGGCUAACUACGUGCCAGCCGCCGCGGUAA